AGACACGCAGCAAACUCCUACGGGAGGCAGCAGUGAGGAAUAUUGGUCAAUGGACGCAAGUCUGAACCAGCCAUGCCGCGUGCAGGAAGACGGCUCUAUGAGUUGUAAACUGCUUUUGUAUUAGGGUAAACUCAGGUACGUGUAGCUGACUGAAAGUAUAAUACGAAUAAGGAUCGGCUAACUCCGUGCCAGCAGCCGCGGUAAUACGGAGGAUCCAAGCGUUAUCCGGAUUUAUUGGGUUUAAAGGGUGCGUAGGCGGUUUGAUAAGUUAGAGGUGAAAUACCGGGGCUUAACUCCGGAACUGCCUCUAAUACUGUUGAACUAGAGAGUAGUUGCGGUAGGCGGAAUGUAUGGUGUAGCGGUGAAAUGCUUAGAGAUCAUACAGAACACCGAUUGCGAAGGCAGCUUACCAAACUAUAUCUGACGUUGAGGCACGAAAGCGUGGGGAGCAAACAGGAUUAGAUACCCUGGUAG
rnacentral:rRNA from 1 species